AAAAUCCUCUCCUCCCUACGAUCACUCAACUUAGGAAGAGCCUGGCCCAUAAAUGAGUGAGUAACUCAAAUAUGCAAGCUCAAUGUAAUGUUUAAGGGCCUGUGUCCACUAGCAUAUUACCACUAGCGUAUUUUCACUGCCAAGCUUCCUAAGCACAAUGUCAGCUGUUUUUUGUCACAGCACUCUCAGUUGAACUUUGUUGACAACGAUGGUAGAAGUCUAAAUGGAGGACAAACUAAACGCUAUUUUCAAAGUAGUAUAUCCAGGACAAGAGCUGCUGCUACUGCUGCUAAUGCUACAACUCGAUUCCAAUCAAUUAUUCCAAUACUGUUUUUGUUAAGUGCCAUUUAAUAAAAGUAACUAUGAGGCAGAAAGGCAUUUAAAAAUAGAUUUUAUGCUAGUACAGAGGAAAGCAGAAGUGCUGCCGACUACUUGUCUUAACUAGCAACUCUGAAAUCACAAUUGUGGGUACUGACAUUCACGUAAAAUUGAUUAAUUGCAUAACUCCGACUUUAACUUAACUUUAAAAAAAUUUUUUUAAACUAGGGGUGGGAGAAAAAAAAUCGAUUCACAUAAGUACCGCAAUUUUUUGUUUUGCAAUUUUAAAAUCGAUUUUUAUUUUUUCAAAUUCAAGAAUAAAUCUUAAAAACUGACUUACAUGUGAUGUGUAUUUUUGGACAUUCAUAAUCAUUCAACUGUUUCACUGGUGUUAAAAAUGCAGACUGAAUAUCGAGAAAAUCGACAAUAUCGUAGAAUCGCAAUUUAAAUCGAAUUAGCAUCUAAAAAAUUGUAGAAGAAUCGAAUCGGGAGCAAAGCAUAUCAUCCCAGCCCUAAUGUAAACACAUUAAUCUUACUGGAAUCAAACUUCUUCACUCUUCUUGCUCCUCUCUUAUAUUUGCAGCGCAGUCAGACUAUAACUGGUCAAAGGAGACGACCCAAUAGAAAAGAGCUGUUGACACUUACAGCGGCAGAAGUGGACAUGCUUCUGUCAAUAAUCUGAUUUUUUCUUCCUGCUUGUAAAUCAGGAUGAGGACAGCAGACGAGUUAAAUCUCUUAAUCGCAUUAUGACCAUGGCUCGAUUAAACUGAACAUGUAAAUGUGCAAAGAAUGGUGAAAGUGGACACAGGCCCUAAAACUUAAACUGUGGAUUUUAAUUUGCGACCACUAUUCCUGAGUUAUGUGUUGUAAAUCUUGCAGAUAAAAAUAAUUAUUUUCAGCAGAAUUUUUUAAUUAACUUUUCGCCAUUCUGAUCUCGGUUGAAUUGGAUUCUCAUUAAACAAAUAUCUUGUAUUUUCCACUGUAUCUGUGCAGAAGUGCAUCUAACUGUUGUGUUUAUGACUGAAUAAUUGGAUAACAUCUAAUUGUAUAGCGACAGUCAUUAAAGAGAACAGGUUAAUGGACAGGAUAAUGGAUCUGUUACCUGAGACUGAUAAUGGUGAGAAACAUAACAAAGAGAGAUAUCAGUAACAGCAGUCACAGACGGAGGGGGACAUCAGGGCAUAUGGGGAGGAGCUGACUCAGCUGCGUAAGGGGGCUGUGAGUAAUCCCUGAGAGAUGAGACGGUUUUUUAGCACAUGACAGAGUCUGGAAAGACUGUCCAGUCGAGGAAUAAGGUGACUGGGUUAAUCGAGGUAAAGACAGGCCAAGAGGGGUGAGGUUUCAAACACUUGGGCUUUAGGUGACGAUGAAUAAUGUACAGGUACAAGUCUGCCAUUAUAUUCUUGUGUUUAGUUGUUGAUGUUGAAUAUAAUUGAAAAUAUUUCUAACUCGCCAAAACACUUUUUUUUCCCUCUUAAGCUGAAUCAUGACGAUUCAUCACAGACAUUCACAGUGUUUGCUGAUGGGAAUCUGCCGGUCCUCAUUACAGACACACCAGAUGUCGUCGGCCUUUGCUGUGGUUUCAGGACUUAAUGUAGAUGUGGUUGGAAGUUUUUGAGUAAAACGUCUCCUCUCUGCCACAUGAAAGUGUCCAGACGAAGAUGUAGUAGCCUGUGAGAAGACACACUCGUGCGUGGCUCAUCUUUUUUUCCAGUUUAGAUCGAUGGAGAUUUGGGUGUGUUGUGUGGUUGUGUAGCCAGACAGUGAGGAUGAGGUACACAUGGGAAAAUGUGACAUGUUUUAAAAAGGGUGGAUUGCUUGAAAAUCAAACAUUUAUCUAUCCAAAGAUCAGAAAUUGCAAAGGUUUUGGAGUAUCUGUACUUAAUCAAGAGUCACAAAUAUCUUGCUGAAAAUUUGACAGGAUAUCAUGUCACUACGUGCGACUGGUAUUAACCAUUUAAAGAUGAGUACAGGUUAAAAUAAAGUGCUUUGAGCUUUGAGCCGCAGAGAUGACUUAGACCUGAGUUUUGUCCCAGUUCACCUGUAAAAAUCCCUCUGCCAUCUAUGACUUCAUCAAAAAGUUGUUUAUCACUAAUACCAUCAAACCGUUAACAUGUUCAAGCAUUGAAUGUUUAUAAAAAGACAUUAUUUCUACCACCAAUAAUCGAAAAUUGGCACAGAAGCAUUUAAAUAAAGAUUCUUUUCAAGUUAGCUUUGUAAUGACUGAACCAGGUCAUCAGUAAUAAUCAUGAAGAACCCACAAUCUUAAAAAAACUAACUCACUGUACAUUUAUGAAUGAAUCACCUGAUUAUCAAAAGGGGACGGGGCUCAUAACUGUGUUUGGUGUCUCUUCUCUGACUAGUUUUGGAGUAAACUCCUGAAGUUGUACAAUCUGCAUCUGCGGAAAUGCUUAUUAAAUUUUGCAAGUCAUCUCUUCCUUGUACGUAUUACCUUGUUGCCAAAGUUUGAGCUGGGGCGUCUCCUCUGUUCUGAGAAAGCUCAUGAAGAAUUCAGAUCUUCUGGCCCCUCAUGGCCCCCAAGCUGUGACUUCAGGAUGGAGACCUGUGUAAUACCUCUAAAUACGACUUCAUGACUUCACAAGAAUAGAUGUAAGAUUUGAGAAUGAGUAGAAACUACAGAAUAAUGCAUGAGCUUGUGCUGAAUUUUUGAUAUCACUUCCUCAUAAAUACUUAAGAGGCGAGUUUGUCUGUGUGUGUUCGCGUGUGUGGGAUGGUUUCUCAUUUUUCAUGUUUGUGUUUUUCACCCGAUGUAAAGUGUGAAGCUCGUUUAUGAGGUCUGGGAUGAUACAUUUGCUUGAAUUAACCAAGUGUAGACUGAGACAGCAAAAUGAUGGUUAUCUUUUACAGUUUUCUCUUGAUAAGUCAGCUGGUGGGAGAGUCACUUAACAUAGACUGUAACUCCAGCAUUACCAGCCUUUAAGACCUACACAUUUGGGAAUAAAAAGCAGAUAUGGACACAGGAAAGAGUGAGUUUCAACAUGAUGAAUAACCAUAUUGACUCUUUGGCUUUAGGAUGACUUGAUUUAACAGAUUGGACCGCUUGUGCUACAAGGGUGAGCAGCGAGUCUCACACAUGCACAAAAGAUUACAGGACAGUUUGGCUGCAGACCUCCACUGUGAGGACCCGCUCCACUGAGUGGACUGGUCGUUAAUACGAGCCUUUCAAAAUAAAAGGAAAUAUACUCGGAGUACUUUUUUUUUGUUCACGUUGGAAGUUGAUUCAAAGCCUUUCAAAUUAAAAGGGAAUAUACUAGGAGUAUGUUUUAUUUUAUUUUAUUUUUUUCAACGUCAAAAGGUCAUUUGAAGCGUUUCAAAAUAAAAGGAAAUAUACUGAGGUACUUUUUUUUUUUUCUUUUUACAUCCGAAGUUCAUUCAAAGCCUUUCAAAAUAAAAGAAAAUACACUGGAAGUAGGUUUUCUUUAAGUCAGAAGUUGAUUCUAAGCCUUUCAAAUUAAAAGCGGUUAGACUGGGAAGUAUGUAUUUUUUAUGUCAUGUGAAUAUAUUUCGUAUUUCUUGGGGCUUUAUUUUAUGUAUAUAAUGUUAAUAUGAUUAUUUUUGUGUAUUCAUGUGUUCAACAAAGAAAAAAUACAAAACGGACUGACAACUUGGAGGGUUAUUCUACAGAUAGAAAAAAUUAAAACUUAAUGUACAGCUAUUGUUAUGAUCACCUUGAAACAUAACUUAAAAUAUCAAUUAUUUUACUUGUAUUUCAAUUUAAUCAUCAAAACGGACAGCUGUUCAUUUAACUUGCACAACAACUUUGUUAAAAACAAUAAAUUUCUGUUAAAACACCUUAAUAUGUAUAAUAGAAUAAUGAAUCUACACUCCAUCUGCUGACUGUCAUUGAAAAUGUCGACGAUCUUCACGGCCAAAAACACCUGACAGUGAAGGUCUGCAGCCAGACCCCUCUCGAAAAUGAAAAGAUAUUUACAUCAACAUCAUGAAAUAGUAUAGUAUAAAAGCAUUUACAGCGUGCCGUUCAAAGCAAAAGCCCAUUCAGCCAUAACUCGCCCUCUUGUUUUCACUCCAUGCUUUUAUUUUGAAGGUGUGCGUGACAAUUAUUGUUUUUGCAGAGCUCCUUAUUUAAACCUUCAACAUUUUUGCAACAGAUUAUUCUGUUUUGGUGUCACGACGUCAUUCAGGAUCAUAUAAGGCGGUACACAUGCUCCUUCUGACGCACACAAAAUAAUCUUAAUAUUAUUUUAGAGCAAGUGACGCACUAUUAUUCCCGUGUCUUGUCCUGUGUGCGUGUUCAUGAUUGGCAAGAAAUAUGUCCGUUUCAGUCCUCCAUAUGUGCAUGAUGCGGCUGUAUUUAUGAAUCAGCCAGGAUUGUGAGGCUCCUGUUAUCUGAGCCUGGCCUCAAUGUUAGAUAGUUAAUGUCCAGUCUUACUGGAAACACAGCAGAAGUGUUUAGCUGGGAUAAAGGUGAUGAAAUGGAGCAGCUAUCCUCAGAUAAUCUGGCUCUUAUUGUCCUGAAGAGCUUUAACCCUUAUCCUGGAAAGACUGUAACAUUGAGACGGAGCUGUGCUGACUGUACUGAACCAAAACUCUCUCGUCCUGUCUGUCACUUCACCCACAGGUGUGAUUUUUAGUGAGCGCUCAUGAAAACGAGUGGGCGGGUGAGGUGUAACUGCUGUUUUUUCUGUGUGUGAAUUUGUGUGUUACUGUGGUCUACCACAGAUCAUGGAUACUGGGCCUCAGAAAAAAACUGAAAUAUCAGAGCGUGAACUUUUACAUUGAGCUUAUUUGCACAAUUUAAAAAAAAGGUUGAUCGUGUUUUCAGACUAGAGCUUGACUAUUUACAAGAGUUAGAGGCAGGGACAGAAAAUCUUGCAGCUUACACUGGGAGCAUGUUGUGAGUAGUGAUGGGAAGAACAGUUCUUUUGACUGUACUGAAUCUUUAGAAUGAGUGCGUUCCCAACCUGCACGCCACGCUCGCGGCUGAGCUCAACUGAACUGAGAAACGAACGAAUCAGGUCUCAGAGUGAUUCCAUUUACGUCAUUCACUCAGUAGUUCUGCUCUUUUAAAAGAAACGUUACUGAACAACACAAAACUAGCCGUGAGGUUGUCGGAUCGAUGCAUGUCAAGUUUGAAGUCAGUGUAGCUCAAGUUGACUGCCUGAACUUGCUCUCAGGCUUCGCUCCACAACUUUAUAUCAUUAAAAGAUUCAGAGGUUUAGGGGAACUCUCUGUAUAGAAAAGGAACCACUACCAAAACCAAUACAAGCAUCAAAAAAAGACAUGACUCUGUAGUGGAAAUCGCUGCAUGGACUCAAAAUAAAGAUAUGAACACAGAUUAAAUAAAACUGAGAACUGACAUGACAGCAAAUGAGCUAACGUCUGAUUUCUUGGACAAGAAUCUGCUUUUGCUGAAGUCAUAUCUCUGUGGAGACACUCAAAGCUGACCCAAACAGGAGAAAACAUGGCAACCAUCUCUUUACAUUUACAGGAAAGGCUCUCCUCGGUGCCAGAAGCACAUGAAGGCCGAAGACAAACACAUCAGAGCGAGAGACGGACCACAUCAAACGCUCAUGUGCCUGAUGAUGCUGGUAAACAGGACCAGUUUGAGCCAGAGCCUGCAUCAUGUGUGUACCAACACCUGGCUGCCAUGUUUACCUGGUGGUCUGCGUUCAUAUCAGUGUGAUGAAGAAGAGGGUGAAAUGGUUCGGUGGUAAACCUCAUGAUCAAAGAUGAUGAAUGCCGGG